GACGAACGCUGGCGGCGUGCUUAACACAUGCAAGUCGAACGGAAAGGCCCUUUCGGGGGUACUCGAGUGGCGAACGGGUGAGUAACACGUGGGUGAUCUGCCCUGCACUUUGGGAUAAGCCUGGGAAACUGGGUCUAAUACCGAAUACACCUUGCUGGCUGCAUGGCUGGUGGGGGAAAGCUUUUGCGGUGUGGGAUGGGCCCGCGGCCUAUCAGCUUGUUGGUGGGGUGAUGGCCUACCAAGGCGACGACGGGUAGCCGGCCUGAGAGGGUGUCCGGCCACACUGGGACUGAGAUACGGCCCAGACUCCUACGGGAGGCAGCAGUGGGGAAUAUUGCACAAUGGGCGCAAGCCUGAUGCAGCGACGCCGCGUGAGGGAUGACGGCCUUCGGGUUGUAAACC
rnacentral:rRNA from 1 species